rnacentral:rRNA from 6 species
UUGACCUCGAAUCAGGUAGGAAUACCCGCUGAAC